rnacentral:rRNA from 1 species
AUUGAACGCUGGCGGCAUGCUUUACACAUGCAAGUCGAGCGGCAGCGCGGGGGCAACCCUGGCGGCGAGCGGCGAACGGGUGAGUAAUGCAUCGGAACGUAUCCUCGAGUGGGGGAUAACCCAUCGAAAGUUGGGCUAAUACCGCAUGAGCUCUGAGGAGGAUAGCGGGGGACCUGCGAGGGCCUCGCGCUGGAGGAGCGGCCGAUGUGCGAUUAGCUAGUUGGUGGGGUAAAGGCUUACCAAGGCGACGAUCGGUAGCUGGUCUGAGAGGAUGAUCAGCCACACUGGGAGUGAGACACGGCCCAGACGCCUACGGGAGGCAGCAGUGGGGAAUGUUGGACAGUGGGGGCAACCCUGAUCCAGGCAUGCCGCGUGAGUGAAGAAGGCCUUCGGGUUGUAAAGAUCUUUCGGACGGAACGAAAUGGGCGGGACUAAUACUCCUGUCUGAUGACGGUACCGGAAGAAGAAGCACCGGCUAACUACGUG